GUAGUCGUGGCCGAGUGGUUAAGGCGAUGGACUAUAAAUCCAUUGGGAUCUUCCCGCGAAGGUUCCAAUCCUACCGACUACG
rnacentral:tRNA from 1 species